CCUACGGGAGGCAGCAGUGGGGAAUAUUGGGCAAUGGGCGCAAGCCUGACCCAGCAACGCCGCGUGAAGGAAGAAGGCUUUCGGGUUGUAAACUUCUUUUGUCAGGGAAGAGUAGAAGACGGUACCUGACGAAUAAGCCACGGCUAACUACGUGCCAGCAGCCGCGGUAAUACGUAGGUGGCAAGCGUUGUCCGGAUUUACUGGGUGGAAAGGGCGUGUAGCCGGGUUGACAAGUCAGAUGUGAAAUCCUGCGGCUUAACCGCAGAACUGCAUUUGAAACUGUUGAUCUUGAGUACUGGAGAGGAAAGCGGAAUUCCUAGUGUAGCGGUGAAAUGCGUAGAUAUUAGGAAGAACACCAGUGGCGAAGGCGGCUUUCUGGACUGAAACUGACGCUGAGGCACGAAAGCGUGGGGAGCGAACAGGAUUAGAUACCCGAGUAGUC
rnacentral:rRNA from 1 species